rnacentral:rRNA from 1 species
CGGUGACUGCGUACCUUUUGUAUAAUGGGUCAGCGACUUAUAUUCUGUAGCAAGGUUAACCGUAUAGGGGAGCCGAAGGGAAACCGAGUCUUAACUGGGCGUUAAGUUGCAGGGUAUAGACCCGAAACCCGGUGAUCUAGCCAUGGGCAGGUUGAAGGUUGGGUAACACUAACUGGAGGACCGAACCCACUGUCUUUGAAAAGCCAGGGGAUGACUUGUGGAUAGGGGUGAAAGGCUAAUCAAACUCGGUGAUAGCUGGUUCUCCCCGAAAGCUAUUUAGGUAGCGCCUCGGACGAAUACCAUUGGGGGUAGAGCACUGUUUCGGCUAGGGGGUCAUCCCGACUUACCAAACCGAUGCAAACUCCGAAUACCUACAAGUGCCGAGCAUGGGAGACACACGGCGGGUGCUAACGUCCGUCGUGAAAAGGGAAACAACCCAGACCGUCAGCUAAGGUCCCAAAGUUAUGGUUAAGUGGGAAACGAUGUGGGAAGGCUUAGACAGCUAGGAGGUUGGCUUAGAAGCAGCCAUCCUUUAAAGAAAGCGUAAUAGCUCACUGAUCGAGUCGUCCUGCGCGGAAGAUGUAACGGGGCUAAGC